CCGACCUUAGCUCAGUUAGUAGAGCGGAGGACUGUAGUUGACGCAGAUUACCUUAGGUCACUAGUUCGAAUCCAGUAGGUCGGA
rnacentral:tRNA from 1 species